CCCUGUUUUGCAAGGAGAUGAAGGUCCUGCAGGGCUGGUCUAGGGACAAGCUGGGCACUGGGCAGGUGGGGCAGGAAAGUGGAGCUGAGGGGACACGCUGGCGUGACUCGCUCCCUGCCUCCCAAAUGUCUUAUUUUGGCGGUGUGGAGUUGGGUGAGCCUCAUCUUUGAAGCUGGAAGGGAGGUCCAUUCCUGAUGCCUUUAAGGAAGAAGAAGUGCCCUGUUCUGUUGGAGCCUGAGACUUUCCGGUAACUGUCCUGGAUGUGUUUUUGCUCUUGUGUUUUCCGUGAACCCUGGCUGCCUAAAGAAGACUUCCUGCUGGGGAAACAGUAUUUUUGGACUCCAGACUGCCAAGCUUCAGAUGUACUUCAAGACACCAUCCUUCUUCAGGGAGACUGGGAAAGGAGGCCACAGGGUCCUGGAGAGCCACGGGAGCAGUGGUGAGUACUUCCCGUCUUCAUGCUGGCUGCAACAGGAUGGACAUGUUCUCUUGUCCCGACAGUCUUUUUGAUACCCACUGGAGUCCAGCUCUAGUUCUGGCUGUGAAUCAUCCUACCUGCAGCCUCCCUCCCCCCAUCCCUUUGUGCUCAGUCCAUAUAUCAGAUAUUCAUCUUGUAAUUAACUCUGAACCACACACAGCUCCACAGUGUAAGACACUGCCCACACUCCUUUGUUCAUCUUUAAAACUUCUCCUGGCUGAGAGUGACUUGCUAAUAUAGAAUAGAAGAGCUAGGCCUCAUCCUCCCUACCUAGGUAGCUGGGGUGGUAGAACACAUUAGGUAUACUUUUCUUUGGCAGAGUUCAGAUCCAUCCUACAGCUUUCUUGGGAAAGCAUGGGUGGUAGAUCAGUUGGUUUCAGCUGUUAGUAUACUAGCAGCUCUCUGACUCCCACCCUCCAAGCCUCAUGACAGGCAGCGGUGCAUGUUACUGAAGCAGCUUGCACAUGGCAGUUGGGAGGCACAGUGGACAAUAAAGACCUUUUACUCCAGGUAUCAAGAAUAUGUGUUUUGAUUGGUGUUAUUGAUCCCCUCUCCACCAGCUGAAGUGUCUUAUAUAACGAUUAAAAUGAAAAUUUAAUUAUAAGGAUUAAGAAGCUGGUUGAGGCAGACAGGUAUUGAUCAGCAAAACUGAAGAUAGGGCAAUUGAAGUUAAGUCUAGGAACCACAAGAGAUAUUAAAGAAAAAUGAAGAAAGACUAAGGGAUCUGUGGGACACCAUCCAGUAAACCAGUAUGUACUUGUGAGAUUAUCAAAGGAGAAAAAGGGAAAGGGAAAGGAGAGAGGUAUUUGAAGACACAAUGGCCUGAAGUUUGAUGGGUCACAUGACAAUGAACAGUCAAGAAGCUUAGCAAAGUACAAGGUAGGACAAACUAAUAAAUCUGCAUGGGGACACAUGGUGAUGAAAGAAUUAAAUGAACACUUCAGAGACUGUCUUGAAAACAGCAAAAAAAAAAAAAAAAAAAAAAA